rnacentral:rRNA from 1 species
GACGAACGCUGGCGGCGUGCUUAACACAUGCAAGUCGAACGGAAAGGCCUCUUUCGGGGGGUACUCGAGUGGCGAACGGGUGAGUAACACGUGAGUAACCUGCCCUUUGCUUUGGGAUAACUUUAGGAAACUGGGGCUAAUACAGGAUAGGAGCUCCUGCUGCAUGGUGGGGGUUGGAAAGUUUCGGCGGUUGGGGAUGGACUCGCGGCUUAUCAGCUUGUUGGUGGGGUAGUGGCUUACCAAGGCUAUGACGGGUAGCCGGCCUGGGGGGGUGACCGGCCACAUUGGGACUGAGAAACGGCCCAGACCCCUACGGGGGGCAGCAGUGGGGAAUAUUGGAAAAGGGGUGGAGGCCGGAUGCAGGAAGGCGGGGGGGGGGAUGACGGCCUUCGGGUGGAAAGCCGUGUUCGCUCAUGACGAAGCGUUGUGUGACGGUAGUGGGUAAAGAAGCACCGGCUAACUACGUG